AAAUAAGAGAACCCGCUAUUUUGCUAAGUUCUAUUUUGAUUUUCCAUUCCCUAUUUCCUCCUACCCCACAAUUCAUCCAUAUUUUUUUCCCAAAUUCAUUCUAUUCCUAAUUCCAAAGGCAUCACAGAGACAGAAAGAGUCAACUUUAGUUUGUUGCUGCUUCUAAUCGUCGAAAACCCUAGCCAAAUUUUAGGGCUAUAGUAGUUUAAUCUCUGCUAUUGAACUCUGGCUUCUUCAAAACCUUCACUGACAACUCAAGUUGGAAAUUUUUUAGCCAUUGUAGCUGCAGAGCUGGCUUUGGCAUUGACAGUAGUGAAUAAUGAAGAAGACUUCAUGUGGGUGUUGAUUAAAUUGGCCAUCUCCGCAUUCUUUACUUCCUUGUUUGCCUUGUAAGUGGGAAUAAAAGAAUAGCACAGUACUUCCUAUAGUUAUGCCAGUUGUUUAUAGUAGCUCUCGUUAUUUAUUUUAUUUCUUUAGACAUCAUUAAGAUGUCAGAUUGGAGCUUAUGAUAAUGACAUGUUGUACAAUACCUAUGAUACAUCCGCUGCUUUUGGGUAUAAAGUUUCGGUCAUUCUAUAAUAUUUGACACUAUCAAUACUUCUUAGCAUUUGGUUAUUUGGAACCAGUUGCCUUUAGAAAAGUUGUCAUCUUAUACAAGACAUCUAGUUAAGAAUGAAAAAAAAUCAAGUACAAGAGUUUGAUGUAAAAUAACUUGUUAAUAUACAGUGUCCAGUUAGUGGAGUUGUGCAACAUGCCAAUACUCUUCUAUGAAAGCAAUGAAUAAUAAUAUACCUCUUAAUUAAAACAAGAAAAUGAGUAAAUUGUAACAUCAAAUGCAUAAGUGCUCCUUAAUUUUGGAUUAGCUUGUCCAUGAGCAAACAUAUUCUUUUCUCAAUUGUAAUUUUAUUUGCAUCCUCUGAACUCCUUUUACUUCAUGAAAAAAAGAAUAUGAUGCUUAACUAGUGCUUGAUGUUCAUAUAGAUUCUAUUUGUGAAUGCUUCACCGAAGAUUGAUAGGUUGUUUUACAGUUUACUUAUACCAUUUGCAUCUUCUUUGAGCCUUUUUCUCAUUUUCUCUAUGUUAACAAAUUUUUUGUUGUAUCGGUUGUUGGACAAAAAUGAUCCGUACUUCGAAGUCCUACCUUCUCUGCUUCUUAGUUCUCUUCGUUUAUGAUAGUUGGUAGUUAUUAUUGUAAGAAGUUAUAGUUGGUUUCUCCUUUUGUUUGGGAUAAGAGAAAGAUAGUAAUGUCAGGAGGUAUAGCCCGUGGCUGUCUUGCAGAGGAGCGCAAAGCUUGGCGCAAAAAUCACCCCCAUGGGUUUGUAGCUAAGCCAGAGACACUUUUGGAUGGGUCAGUGAACUUGAUGGUGUGGCACUGCUCCAUUCCUGGUAAAACAGGAUGAUGGUGCUUGCAGAUUGUUGCUGGUUUAUUUUAUAUGUGCCCGAGAUGAGUAAAGUUAAAGGUGGCGAUGAGUGAAGGAGGAAAAGAAAACUGGUAGCUAAACUAGUCAGUAUGAUCUACAAUCUAUCAGCACACUUGAAUAUUUUCAUCUGGAUCUGCACCGUAUCUCAGGUAUGGAAAGGUAAAACCACUGAAAAGAACAAAGAGAUUACAAUUAGGGAACUUAAGGGCCAAAAACUUUCAAAAAUUUUUGCUCAUUUGAACAAGGGAAGCUCACAUGUUGCUUAGAUUACUAGAGUGGUCAAGCUGCCGAAAAUGGAUCAGUUGCAAAAUAAGAAGAUUGAUGUGAAGGGUGCUAAGGACCAAGGGGAUAACAAAUUGGGUUGCUAACGUAUACUAGCUUUAGCAGUAUAAUGUAUUUUAAAAUAUUAUUCAUGAUAGAAUACAUCAGAUAUUGUAUAAUUCAUUUCCCGUAGCUUACCUUUAAGAAAUUUGCUUUAUUAAUUAAUGUAGUACAUGAUACAUAUUUCUUUUUCGAAGUUCA